GCCAAUGGUCAUCUAGGGACAAAGACUCUCAGCCUGAGAGUCUGUGAGAAUCUGAAUUCAACGAACAGCCACGAGUGAGCUGAGACCUAGACCCCCCUCCAGUUGAACCUUUGGAUGAAACCCAGAGCUUGACUCCACCCUCCGAGAAUACAAGGCAGAGGCGCUCAGCUGAGCUGUGUGCCGAUUUCCAGCCCACAGAAACUGUGAAUCAUAACUGUUUGCUGUUGGAAACCAUUAAGCUGUAGGGGUGGUUUGUUCUGCAUCAAUAGACGACCGUCCCUUGUUUCCCAUCCGCCGGCUGAGUGCAGCAUCCUCCACUGACCCAGGGGAGGGCAGAAGGGCAGAAGGAGGGCUUCCAUGACCAGAAGCACCUGCCGUGUGGGGCAGCCGGGAGGCAACAGUCGACUCUGUGGAGACUGAAAUGAGUGGUUGCUGUUGUCCCUACCCGUCGCUUCCCUGAGAUGGCUGUGUGCUCCGUCGCUUCCCUGAGAUGGCUGUGUGCUCCGUCGCUUCCCUGAGAUGGCUGUGUGCUCCGUCGCUUCCCUGAGAUGGCUGUGUGCUCCGUCGCUUCCCUGAGAUGGCUGUGUGCUCCCUCUAGGUGGAAAAGCUGCGUCGUGUACGAAUAAAUUAGGCUGCACGUGAUAAAAUCCCCGGAAAACACUGGCAUAAACCAGGGAUUCCAUUCCGAGGACUGGCUAGCUACAGAAUUUGGAAAUUUAAAGAUCUGUGGAUAAAAGGAGGCCUGGAAAGGAAGGGAAAAGCAGCGGAAUAGAAGAGAGAUGUUUAAAACCUGGAUUGUUUCUCAGAAAGGAGAGUUGAGUUUGAAUGCGAUCCAUCGAUUUUCCUCAAAGCUGCCCAUGAGGAAUGCCUAGUGGUGAUAUUGACAGUGCAGUCCCACUGAGGGGCUCCUGGAAAAAGGGGCUGUCGGGUGACAGAGGUGGAGAGACGGUGGUGCCACAGGAAGGACCGCAAGCAGGAUGAGAUGGGGCAGGCUCUGCAGGUUGUGCCCUUUAGAGCAACUGGAAUUUCUUUGGUCAAAAGAUGUGUUUGUAGUGAGGGAGAAUCUGGCCGAGGACACUUCUGCUUGUGUGCGUUUCUUUUAGGCUUAAGAUCAGCUCCCAGGGCACAGGCAGUGGGGAGCAGCUGGCCCUUCCUUGGAGGACGGCCUCAAGCACCAUCGGACCCAGCAGACAAUCACAGCCUCACGCCUCCAAGCACAGCCUCCCGCCACCUCCUGGAACCUGGAGUUUUUGUCUUACUUACACGUGAUACCAGCUUCCUGGGCAGCCCCGUCCUCCACAUUUUCUGGAUUUGUGUGGCACACUUUGCUUUCUACAGUGGUUUUGCACAUGGUGUCACUUGCCCUUCAUUGUAGCUCCUGUGAAGGGUGAAGGGUGAAGGGUGAAGGGUGACAGCUUCCUCUGGAGGCCCUCUGUGACUUGCCCAUCUGGGCCUGGUGAAGGAGCCCUGUGGAUCCCGGGCACAGAGGGCCUGUUGGUCCAGCUCACAAGUCAGGGGGCAAGAAAGGAACUCUGCACCUCUGUGACAUUCUUCCCGGGUCCCGGGCAAGGUCAUCCCAGGAGUGCUGAGGUCACAGCUCACAGAAGUGACCCCACAGGUAAAGUCGGCAGGCGUAGUCACCUACACUUUGUGACACCAGGGACCAUUGAUGGAGUCCAGUGGGGACCUCCUCAACCACACAUGUCCUGGAGGACGUGGGCGCCGCCUAUCCAGAGACAGCUACAGAACGGCCUUUACCAAUUAGCAUAUGAAGUAGAAAUGUUUCACUGACCACUCUUCCUCCCCACCGGCACUGCACUUCCUUCAAUGCUCCAAUUGCAGAAAAGGGUCCACUCUGUAGGGUUAGGGAGUGCCCAGAUGUGGAAACAAAGGACCCCUGCCCCUUUCCGCUGCUGCCUGGGGGCACGGCAGGCUCUGCCAGAAACUCAGCCUGCAGCUGCAGGUGCGCGGGAGGAGGUUUGACGUUCACCAGCCUUUCGAGGGUAGGUGGUAACCCACACAAUCUUGAGCUGUACAAAUGUGAGGGACAAAGCACGCAGCUGCAUGGAACCUAAGGUGAUCUCGCCAUCAGAAAAGGGGUCUCCGUGCCCUGCAGAGGGGCCCUAAGCAUCACACGCCACUCACCCAAGCUGGGAAGAAAGGGCAGCUAUUAACCCUUUUCUAGAUGAGGAAACUGAGGCUCAGGGAUGCGAAGUGGCUCAGAAGCAUUCAUCCAUGAGGUUCAGAGCCAGCAGCCUGGCCCAGGGCUUCCCAAUUUCAAGGGUAACCUCUUUGCAGGCUCCAGGCCUGCCAUCCUAAGUGGGGAGUGGGGACUGGGGACGGCAGCUCUUUCUGCCCUCUGGCCUGGUGCCACUUCCCUGGAACAGAUCUUUCUCCUGCUGGCAUCCUCUUGCCCACCCGCCUCACUUCCACAGGCUCCCCAAGGGUCACACAGGGCCACAGGCCCAUGGGACCUCACAGCAUGCCAGUCAACAUUCAGCCUUCAUUCUUGACUUGGCCAAAGGGAGGGAGACCCUAGAAAGGGUUCUUGUAAUGGGAAACAGAUGAGCAGACGCCCCUCCAUCACUGCUGUGAUGGGAGCACUGCCCAGGCGUGUCUUCCCAGAGCAACUUGGCCAAUGUCCCCCAACCCCAUCUCUCUGUCUCUCAGCCCCCUCACCCCAAAUUGCAGAUGUCUAGGCUGACUGACGGUUUAUUUCAACCGAGCUCAGGAGUCACGUGUUCCACAGCAGCAGAUGCUCAGCACCUUGUCAUCCCACACUGCAGAUUCAAGUUCCUCUCACACUUACUGAGCGCCUUCUGUAUGCUGGGUCAGCACCUUCACUCUUGCCCAGCACCCCAGGGCAGUCAGUCCCUUCCAGACACACAGUAUCCCUUCAUGGCAGGGUGCGUUCACUCUGCCUCUCUUCUCCCCGGAUGAGUUUUCAGGGUGUUUCCUUGCAGGCAUCCCCGUGGGAAGCAGGUUUGAAUGAGGGGUGCAGAGGACGGUGCAUGGGGGAGGCGUGUUGGAGCGUCCACUCCUAGGGAGCUUGGCUUUAUCCCCAGUUGUCUCUGGCUUGGGUAAAGGGACAGGGUUUCAAAGCAGCCUUUACCUCUGGCUGCUCCCUGCCUCUAGGAUGAAGAUGGUUUGCCAACCGCUGGCCUCUGCAGGUGACCCUCCCAGGUGUGGAGCAGAGAGGCUGGUGGCUGGCGGGCCUGUGACCACCAGGCCACCAAAAAGCAUUACUGGUGUCCAGAUGUCUUUCUCUUCACACAUCCUGGAGCUGUUUGAGGCCAGGGCUGUAUCAGAGUCACUUGGGCACACUCACACCCAGCGCAGUGCCCUGGGGACCUCGACAGCAUCCAGGACCUUUUGUCGGAGAAGCCGGCGGUCAUGGUCAUGGGCAGUGGAGAGUGUCGUCUGACUCUGGGCCGUGCUUGAAUUCUCUUGUCCGUUUGCGCUGUGACCAGCUUAGCACAGAAGCACAUGCUGUGAUUCUAAGAGGGAAAACGAGGGUGUUCUCAGUCACGCUGAGGGCUGCAGGGCUCAGGGGAGGAGGCUCCUUCCCACCGGGCAGCGGUUCCCUGCAGUGGCCGAUUCCUGACCUUCAGGUGGCCAGCUGCCCUGCCUCCCCCUCCUCCUGGCUUUCCAUCAGUUUCCCAUCUGCUCCCACAGACUCAUCUGCUGGGGACAGCCAGUUCAAUAGGAAGAAAAGAAAGGCAGAUGCUGUUGGUGACGCUUUUUUGGCAGUCUCCAGAGAAAACUGGAGUCUGGACUCAUGAGAAACACUGUGCACAAUGGAAGACGCAGGCGUCCACUCACCUGGGUCAGCACUCAGGGAAGCCUGGGCGCCUCCCACGAGAUGGCGUGCACUCAGGUGCAUGGUGGGUGGGGGCUGCGUUGGGCCCAGUCUUUCUCCAGGUGCUUGAGGAGGGUGCGUCCAUAUUUUCAUGUUGGUUUAACUUCGUGCUGCCUAUUGGCAAAGAUAAACCAAAGAAGACCAUGGAAAAUGUGGUCAGUGGGGAAGGAAGCUUUCCGUGGAAAAUGUGGUCAGUGGGGAAGGAAGCUUUCCGUGGAAAAUGUGGUCAGUGGGGAAGGAAGCUUUCCAGAUGAAUCAGAAUCCAUUCAUUUCACCCCCACACCUUUGGUCACUGAAUAUUCGUGAGAUACAGGUGUGGUAGUGGGGGUGAAAAUCUGUCCCCCCACACUCUUUUGCUGCAGUGAUGUGGCAGGUGUGGCAUCUUCAUAUCCCUCAGGAGCCCCCAGAGUGACUGCAGACCUAGCCUGAGGCACCAGUGCCAACCAGCCCGUGAGGGAGAAGCUCAUCCUCUUCAGCUUGACCUCCCUUCCUCUGCUCCUCCGUGCGAAGGUGCCCGUGCCUGCAGGGCUGAGGGAGGUUGGUUUCAGGACCCCACCUGUUCUGGAUGAAGCCUGAAGAUCCACAGGUCUCUGGGGAGGCCCUGGCUGGGCCCCAUGCCUGGCCGCUUUCCAGCAUCUCUGCAGGGAACUGAGGCAGGGAGGCCUGGGUUCCGCGUCUCCUGCCCACUGGCUGCUGUGUUCAGUUUCACAGGUUCACCCUCGGGCCUCUGUGUCUGCGAGGGAACUCGGUUAGCAGCUGUCCAGGCCUCGGGCUCCUGGCCUGCCUUGCUGCUCCCACCUCAGUGAGCGCUUGUUCUGAUGCUGGAACGGCAAGGCCUGCCUCAGAGCCAUGUUUCUUGAGGUUAUUUGAACACUGGGGUUUACUGUGAAAGACACACUCUGAAAACAGGCCUGGAAUAGGAUGGUAAGCUUCACACUGCUCCAGGACUGGCGGGCUAUGUGGUUGCACCAUGGCCACGAGCACAGCUUUUGGGUGCUGGAGAAGGUGCCACUGAGAGACAGAUGCAGUGCCUGGCAUAGGGCACCCUCAACCUGCUUCACCUGCAGCUCAGGAGGCAACGCGGCAGUUCCAGAACAAGCACAGGCAUGGUCCCUGCCUGGUGCUCCUCCCAGGGGCAGGAGACCCCUCUUCUGGGCCAACCUCAGGCACGACGUGGCCUUCACUGCUCCGAGAGUGACUGGCUAGAAGCAGCUUUGGAGCUAAAAAGACCCAGAAUUGCAGAGCACAAGGUUCUCCAGAAAUCCCUCUCCCCUGUCAUGGACUGGGAAACUGAGGCAGGGAAGCGGGAGCACAGAGGCAGAGUUCGUGACUGACCAUUUGCUCUGCAAAUUCUGAAUCCUCAGCAGUGUGAUUCUUAAAGCUUUAUUGAGGUAUAAUUUACAUGCCAUAAAAUUCACCCACCAUGAGCAAACAUACAAUUGCAUGUUUUUCGGUGAACUUACAGGUUUGUGAAGCCCUCACCACACUCCAGGUUUAGAACAUUUUCAUCGCCCCAAAGUCCUCUGGAGCCUGCUUGCUGUCAGCCCCAGUUCCACCCUCAGCCCCAGGCACUGCUGGCGUGUGCUCUCUCUCUCUCUCCUGGUGGCUCUUUUCAUGGGCAAGAGGUGAAUAUUCAAACCUAAGUGGGUUCCAGGCCAGCACUGUGGGCAUUUGACCUGUGAGCACUGGCACCCAUGCUCAGAAGGGCUCUGUGCUUGGGGUCCCCGCCCCUGCAGCCCCUGCUGGUCGCUUUUUCUUUAGUGUGUGUUUUGCAAGCACAAUCCGAUGAGGCCCAGCUGCAGGUUCCAGGCGGGGAGCCUGGGCUCACAGACGGUCCCACCUCCCGCCCCUUCCCACCGACGUCCUUGGUCCACACUCCAUCCCCCGCCCUCUCCUCCAGGGCCACUGCCCGCCUCCCAUGAAGCAGUGACUGGGUCUCUUUGGCCAGGGGCAGCCUGCCUUCCUGAGUCACUCUCCGUCCUGGUGGCAGCCUGGGCCCAGUGUGGUGAGGGUCACGGUCAGGUCUGGCGCAGCACAGUGUCUUGGGUGGAGCCAGGAGAUGGCUGUCUCCCAUCCUGGGCUGGACAGUGCCUCACACAUCCUCAAUCCAGGUACCAGAGCCCUGGCUCUGAGGUUCAGCCAUUUGGUAAUGUUGUGCCCCAGGUGCUAGGGAGAGAGGUGCAUGGGGCUGGUGCUGACUGCACACGUGCCAUGCUGUGGAGUGGGGCCCAGGGCGCCUGUGGGGUCUGUGCUCCCCAAGCGUCUCAUGCCACCAAGGGAGCGUGACCUUCAGCAUCAAAUAACCCUGUGGCUUCUGGCCGCAUCCACCUGCACCCUCCCUUUUUCCUGCACAUCUGAGGGCAGCUCACUGCACCCGAGCACUUUCGGGACCACGAGGCAGCUCCCGCCACCCUCCUCCCCUCGAGGCCUCUGUGAUGCCUCUUGACUCUCAGCUCCAUCCUCCCAGCCAAGCAUUGCUGUUGCUCAUCCCAAACACCAUUCAUUCAUGAGAAGAUCCAUCUGUGAGCGCUGGAAUCCUCACGUGUCCAGCGGGAGCAGAGAAGAGCAGGCACACGAGAGCCUCGUCUUUUCCUUGUCACAUCAGGAAAUCUCUGAAUUCAGAUUUCUAAUGUCAGACGACAGUGAAUCUGGGUUCAUGUCUAAUGCGAGUAGCUCUUACUAUGGGCUGUUUUCAUGAACCUGGGGUUUGGGAGGGUUGUGGCCACCGUCUCCAGGCAAAGACCAUGAGGAAGGUGAGUGGGUGAGGGCCAGGCUGCGGCUCCAACGCAGCCCAUGGGCAGGUGGAAGGCUCCAGUUUAUGUAGCAGGAAGUACAUGUCCUUCCCUCCGCCAACACAGUAGCUGACUUCCGUUUCCUAAGGGCUACAGGGUUCUGCCAAGCAGCAGAUAAAUCACCUGUAACACCAGCGAUGGAACGAGGAGGGAUGAGAAACCACAGGGGCAGCCAGCUUGGUGCCAGGAGACGCCGCCGCCUGCCACGGCCAGGGGACUCCGUACCACGCACACCCCUGCCAGCUGGGGCUGGGCUCUGCAGAGGUCUGGUCUGCAUGGGGGCCCUGGCAUGGCCCCUUGGAGUGAAGCAUAGAAGCAGAGGCAGAGUGCAGGGUCCCGGUUGACAGCUGUCACUAUCUGGAUUUGGACAGACGGCACGCCGGGUCACUGCCGGGGCCGUCAGGAGACGCAUUGGAUCACUGGUCACUGCAGCACUGUCCGCGUCAUUCCAAGAGACCCAGCCCACGGUGGAGGGUGAGCAUGGAAAUCAGCCUUUUGCAAUCACUUGGUCCGUCCGUCUCAGACACAAAACCCAGAGUGAGCAUCAUCCUCCCAUGACACCCUGGCCUGGCAUUCGCAGCGAGGCAGCAGACAUUAUAAUCCCGUUCGAGACGGCCUUAGCAGUCUCACUGAAUUCAGUUCCCACCCAAAGAUAGCCUGGAGCAGAACUGCCCCCUCCAGGAGGGGAGCUGGGCCACUGGCUUCUGAGAGACUAAGAGCAGGGCACCUGGGCUCCCUGCCACCUGGGCUUCCUCAGUCAUGUCACUUGGUUCCUCGGGGUCACAGCUGCAGAGGUAGGAGAUAGAACCCCAUCUGCAGCUGCCCUCGGAAAGCGGCCAGAGCUCAGCGCUCACCACCCUAACCCCCACCCCUGUCCAGGAGUCUCAGGUGGAAGUUGUUCUCUUUCACUUGACACGUGUUGGGAGACUCAGAUUCCCUCGCAGGUGGAAAAGUGCUUUCUCAACCUUCAGCCCCACCUGUGAGAGCUGACCUCAUCAGCAUUUCCUGGGCUAUAAAUAGACCUGAAACACAAUGAAGGGACCCAGUUUAGAGAAAACAGCCAUGGACCUUAUGUCACCUGAAAAAUGCUUUGGUAGGGCAAAUGCUGUUCUGAACUCUGUCCACCUUACAAGUGUGGACACCCCCAUGAUGCUCUCCUAGAGCGCACAUUUGAAGCGAGGGGUCAUCCCAUACUGUUUUCAUCAGUGUCCCCUGAGAAGCAGCAGUGAGCCUGCAGGACUUAGUCAACUGCAGGUGUGAAAUGGGACAUGAACUCCUGGAACUACCUUUUUCAUAAAAAUAUCUUCUUAAGGUAUAAGUUUUCUCAGUUUCUAAAAACAGCUGUCUUUUGCGGCUAUAAAGAAGGACCCACAUAGUUACAUGUGACUUUGUGUUAUUGAUUAAAUCUAUGACAGACUGAUCACAAACAUUCAACUGCAUUAAUCUAUGUCAGAAAUUUGAGAACCACCCCCUCCCCAGGCAGUUUUCAGAACCUGGUUCCCCCCACAGCAAAGGGCCAAUGGGGUCAGCCAAUUGGUGUCAACAACUGGAUGUGGCCCAGUCAGCAGGGCCCAGCCCCGCCCCCCAAAGAGCCAUGUGAACCCUGCUCAUGGUCCUGGGGAAUGUUGAACCCAAUGUGGCCAGAUAUUCUGGUUUAUCAAGAGAAACCAGGAUUUCCAGAUUAUUAAAUGUGUACAAUCCAUCUAAACUCUAAAAAAUAAUGCUCAGCCAGUCAAAAUGUCUCUAAAAUUUAGAUUCAGCAGGCAAUCUGCCUGUUUGUGACUCCUAGACAUUAUACAAGCAAGAUCCCUAGGCUUCCUGCUGCAUCCUGUACCCUGGUCACCUAGGGAACUUUCAUGCUGACUGUCCCCUCCUCUCUUACUCUGAAGCUUAUUCUCCUGUACACUUUCCAGAAUUCCAUGAACAUUCACAGACCAGACAAUCUCCAGAUUAUCUUCUCCAGAUGGCCAGGAGGGACAGAGGGAUCAAACCAUCCCUGACUGCUUGAGAUUCAUGGCUGCCUCCAGAAACAAGGAGAGACACCAUACAGCAGACACCUGGGGCUUCCAGAAGUAGUCAAGAGGAUGUCAUUUCACAGAGGCAGGGUAAACCAGAAAAUACUGCUUUGUUAGUGUAAUUGGUAGGAGUGAGACAGCAACAUUUUUCCUAUUGAAAAAUGUCAUCUGCAGGGGCUCAAGGAAAUCACAGUCAGAGUGUGGGGCCUGCGGUCAAACCACCUGAGUUUAAAGCUCCCCCAUGAAGCUUACUAGCUAUAUAAACAAAUCUACCUUCAUUUAUUUGACAAUAUUAAUAUUUAUGAUAUUAUUGUUAGGAUAAAUCGGCGUGUCAGGUUUUCAGAACACUGUCUGGCAAUGAAACCCUCAAUCAAG